UUGAAGGUGCUCCCCCAGCACAAGCACUCGCAGGCUGUGAUUUCUUCGCAACCCCCAUUGCAGCUAAAAUGGCUCCCUUCCUAUUUUGUUGACAUUGGGUGCCUCUUUUUUGAAGCACCUCAGCCUCUCACUAGGCACUCGCCUUUCGGAGCACCUCCAUUUCUUCCGAUCUCAUCCCUUCAUAGUCUGAUAGUUAACGUAUCAAAAGACUAAAUGAAAAGAAAAAACCUAGGGCCGAUCGAACUGACCUCCGGGAUCGACCAAACUUAGCCCGACACAGAAGAGGACCUGCUCUGACAGCAGCUCCUUCAUGGGAGGGAUCUUUUAUUCCCACAAUAUCUCAAAAUUAUGAAGAUCCUCUCCUUCCAACUUCAGGAUAUCGAAUACAGCCUCCUUUGGUCAGCCCCAGUUCGGUAACAUUAAUGACCCAAGAAAAGGACCCGAGACAAAGAAAAAUCACUCCUUCCAUUUGUAAAUGGAGGUAGGAGCCCCCUUUAGCAGGGUAGAAACAUCCUAUAGGAGAGAAAUGUACCAUCAAUCUGAGAUAUGCUUCUUUAAGAUAAAAAAUGAUCGAAAAAGAG
rnacentral:lncRNA from 1 species